UGAAGAAUCCGACCCUCAACUGACUGAGCCACUCAGGCUCCAUAAAUCAUCUCUGCAGUUCUUCUGUGGAUACUGUGUUAUGUAACAUUUCUUGAGAGCAGUCAGGCCUCUCCCCAGAUUUGGAGGCUGAUAUGAUACUAAAACCUACCGACCACACCUGAGCUCUCACUGAUAAGAAAGAAGUUUUAUGGAAGAAAAAUACAGGGUUAGAAGUGAAGUGCUCCUCAUCCUUUUGAGAAUGAGCUAGGAUGAACAUUCUUCUAAUGUUUUGUAGGUGACUUGUCUGACAUGGACCUGACCAGACCAGAAUCAAAGUUCUGUCAAGCAGUUUUAUUCAGGUAUAAUUGAUAUGUUUAAAAAAACCUGUGCAUGUUCAAUGUAUACAAUUUGAUGAGUUUGGACAAAUGCCUACACCGAUGACACUAUCGCCGUGAUCAAGGGAGUAGGACGUGGAUACCCUUCCUGGAGGACAAGGAUACCACAGUUUUGUGAAAGAAAUAAAAUAAUCUCUGCAAAAAUUAUUUUAUCUGAGACUUUAGAAAUAUUUUUUCCUCGCUUCAGUUAAUUUUUAAACCUUUAGCAUUGAACAGAUGUUCAUGAUCUGCUGAAAAUUCAUUGCAUAUUCAUUACACCCAAAGGUGGUAUGAGGUCUGGUUGCUUCUACUUGAUGACCAUCUAUACUGCUAGAGAAGAGAGACCAGAGAAUCAAGGCUCAUAGUCAGCUUCAACUGCUGGUCAAAUGCAUGAGUCCUUCCUGGAUACCAUGUUCCAGGCAUGUUCCAAGUUGAAUUCAGCCUCAUGCACGGGCAAGACAAGUCAUGUAGUGACUGCAUGAAUUCUUGACCCACAGAAUAAUGAGAAAUAUAUCUCAUAGUUUGAAGACUCUGAGUUUGAGGGAAGUUUGUCAUAGAAAUAUAAAUACAUAAUAAAACGCAUAAUGAGGCUAUAUUGUCUCUGUAAUUCA